rnacentral:rRNA from 1 species
UCCGACUGUUUAACAAAAACAUAACCUUUAGCCCCAAACAAGUAUUAAAGGCAACGCCUGCCCAGUGAACAAUUAAACGGCCGCGGUACCCUAACCGUGCAAAGGUAGCGUAAUCACUUGUCUAUUAAUUGUAGACCCGUAUGAAAGGCAAAAUGAGGGCCUAACUGUCUCUUAUAAUAAAUCAAUUAAACUGAUCUCCCAGUCCAAAAGCUGGGAUGUUAACAUAAGACCAGAAGACCCUGUGAAGCUUAAACUAAACUAUUAAAACACAUAAUAGCUCCUUUCGGUUGGGGCGACCUUGGAAAAAAAAAGAACUUCCAAGGCCAACAAGCCAAAAAUCGACCCAGCAUAGCUGACAAUUGAACCAAGUUACUCCAGGGAUAACAGCGCUAUCUUCCUCAAGAGCCCAUAUCAAAAGGAAGGUUUACGACCUCGAUGUUGGAUCAGGACAUCCUAAUGGUGCAGCCGCUAUUAAGGGUUCGUUUGUUCAACGAUUAACAGUCCYACGUGAUCUGAGUUCAGACCGGAGA